ACUGGCUUGUGGCAGCCAAGCGUUCAUAG
rnacentral:sRNA from 1 species